rnacentral:rRNA from 1 species
ACGAACGCUGGCGGCAUGCCUAACACAUGCAAGUCGAACGAGACCUUCGGGUCUAGUGGCGCACGGGUGCGUAACGCGUGGGAAUCUGCCCUUGGGUUCGGAAUAACAGUUAGAAAUGACUGCUAAUACCGGAUGAUGUCUUCGGACCAAAGAUUUAUCGCCCAGGGAUGAGCCCGCGUAGGAUUAGGUAGUUGGUGGGGUAAAGGCCUACCAAGCCGACGAUCCUUAGCUGGUCUGAGAGGAUGAUCAGCCACACUGGGACUGAGACACGGCCCAGACUCCUACGGGAGGCAGCAGUGGGGAAUAUUGGACAAUGGGCGAAAGCCUGAUCCAGCCAUGCCGCGUGUGUGAUGAAGGCCCUAGGGUUGUAAAGCACUUUCGUGGGGGAUGAUAAUGACCGUACCCAAAGAAGAAGCACCGGCUAACUUCGU